rnacentral:rRNA from 1 species
AACGAACGCUGGCGGCAUGCCUAACACAUGCAAGUCGAACGAGACCUUCGGGUCUAGUGGCGCACGGGUGCGUAACGCGUGGGAACCUGCCCUUAGGUUCGGAAUAACUCCCCGAAAGGGGUGCUAAUACCGGAUAAUGUCUUCGGACCAAAGAUUUAUCGCCUUUGGAUGGGCCCGCGUUGGAUUAGCUAGUUGGUAGGGUAAAAGCCUACCAAGGCGACGAUCCAUAGCUGGUCUGAGAGGAUGAUCAGCCACACUGGGACUGAGACACGGCCCAGACUCCUACGGGAGGCAGCAGUGGGGAAUAUUGGACAAUGGGCGAAAGCCUGAUACAGCACUGCCGCGUGAGUGAUGAAGGCCUUAGGGUUGUAAAGCUCUUUUACCCGGGCUGAUAAUGACAGUACCGGGAGAAUAAGCGCCGGCUAACUCCGUG